rnacentral:rRNA from 1 species
UUAACCGCAUAGGGGAGCCGGAGGGAAACCGAGUCUUAAUUGGGCGUUAAGUUGCAGGGUAUAGACCCGAAACCCGGUGAUCUAGCCAUGGGCAGGUUGAAGGUUGGGUAACACUAACUGGAGGACCGAACCGACUAAUGUUGAAAAAUUAGCGGAUGACUUGUGGCUGGGGGUGAAAGGCCAAUCAAACCGGGAGAUAGCUGGUUCUCCCCGAAAGCUAUUUAGGUAGCGCCUCGUGAACUCAUCUUCGGGGGUAGAGCACUGUUUCGGCUAGGGGGUCAUCCCGACUUACCAACCCGAUGCAAACUGCGAAUACCGAAGAAUGUUAUCACGGGAGACACACGGCGGGUGCUAACGUCCGUCGUGAAGAGGGAAACAACCCAGACCGCCAGCUAAGGUCCCAAAGUCACAGUUAAGUGGGAAACGAUGUGGGAAGGCCCAGACAGCCAGGAUGUUGGCUUAGAAGCAGCCAUCAUUUAAAGAAAGCGUAAUAGCUCACUGGUCGAGUCGGCCUGCGCGGAAGAUGUAACGGGGCUAAACCAUGCACCGAAGCUGCGGCAGCGACGCUGAUGCGUUGUUGGGUAGGGGAGCGUUCUGUAAGCCUGUGAAGGUGGCCUGUGAGGGUUGCUGGAGGUAUCAGAAGUG